rnacentral:rRNA from 1 species
CCUACGGGAGGCAGCAGUAGGGAAUAUUGGGCAAUGGAGGCAACUCUGACCCAGCCAUGCCGCGUGCAGGAAGACGGUCCUCUGGAUUGUAAACUGCUUUUGAAUGGGAAGAAUGUGCUCCUUGCGAGGGGUAAUGACGGUACCAUUAGAAUAAGCCACGGCUAACUACGUGCCAGCAGCCGCGGUAAUACGUAGGUGGCGAGCGUUAUCCGGAUUUAUUGGGUUUAAAGGGUGCGUAGGCGGCUUAAUAAGUCGGUGGUUAAAAGUAGCAGCUUAACUGUUUUACAUGCCAUCGAUACUGUUGAGCUUGAGAUAUUUGGAGGCAGCUAGAAUUUCCGGUGUAGCGGUGAAAUGCAUAGAUACCGGAAGGAAUACCAAUUGCGAAGGCAGGUUGCUACGAAUAAACUGACGCUGAUGCACGAAAAGCGUGGGGAUCAAAACAGGAUUAGAUACCCUGGUAGUCCACGCCGUAAACGAUGAUUACUAGUUGUUGGGGUUUAAGCCUCAGUGACCAAGGGAAACCGAUAAGUAAUCCACCUGGGAGUACGCCGGCAACGGUGAAACUCAAAGGAAUUGACGGCUUGAGAGNGCGAGACGACGACGAGGAGAGG